rnacentral:misc_RNA from 1 species
AGCGACGCCUCUGGAACUAUGGGUAGGCUUUCUGUUUGAGUUAUGUGCUUCUCAUUUGCACUGAGAAAAAGAAUCUUCUACAACUAUACUUGUUUGUUGGUGAAAAAGCGGAUUUCAACCCUGCAUUUGCUAAAUUACAGGGAUUUGAUUCAUUGAUGCAGGGUGUUGCUUUUCUUUCUUGUUGAGGUCUCACCUUUUAAACCCGCAAAUGUUAAUGUCUGUUUAUCCAAUGUUCUGUGCGCAGGUGGUGCUUGUGGGUAUG